UGAGGAAUAUUGGUCAAUGGGCGCAAGCCUGAACCAGCCAUCCCGCGUGCAGGAAGACGGCGCUAUGCGUUGUAAACUGCUUUUCCAGGGGGAGAAACUUGCGCACGUGUUGCGCAAUUGACGGUACCCUGGGAAUAAGCAUCGGCUAACUCCGUGCCAGCAGCCGCGGUAAUACGGAGGAUGCGAGCGUUAUCCGGAUUCAUUGGGUUUAAAGGGUGCGUAGGCGGACUAUUAAGUCAGUGGUGAAAUCCUGCAGCUUAACUGCAGAACUGCCAUUGAUACUGAUAGCCUUGAGUUUGGUUAAGGUAGGCGGAAUGUGUAAUGUAGCGGUGAGAUGCUUAGAUAUCACACAGAACACCAAUUGCGUAGGCAGCUUACUGAGCCGACACUGACGCUGAGGCACGAAAGCGUGGGGAUCGAACAG
rnacentral:rRNA from 1 species